CUCCGCGACCGCAGCUGCGCAGGAGCCGACCCUCUCAGACACCCCCUCCUCCAUCGCACCCUGCCUCGCUGUGUCUGUUGGAGGCGGGCGUGCUUUCCUUUCGUUGCUUCCGGUGGGUCGCAGCGUGCCGGCUGCAUCUCGUAGAGCACGUCUGAUCACUCUCACACAAAACAAUAUGACGACAGCCAUCACGUCCAUCCCCAUCCCCCUCCCCAUCAUCUUCUUUCUAAACUAAACAUCUUCCGUUCCUUGAUUACCUCUAGUGACAUUUGCCUCGAGGAAACUGUUGUUGGCCCCUCUGUUUUCUCUUUGAAAGGCUUUGCGGAGGGGUUUGCCACGGUGCCUGAGCUCCAGAGAAUGUAGAGGCUCACGAAGAACAAGAAAGCCCUUGUACCCAGCUAAUGGAGAGGUUCUGAUAUUGAAGAAGGCCAGGAUCUUUACGGAGGAUGACCAGAGCCUGCCUGGAGAGACGAUGGAGCUGAAUGAUUGGCCAUCCAGCAGGAAGCUGAGGAGAAGGAGGGAAACACAUUCUGGAAGCAUCAGUGGAAAGGGAAGCCAACAAUUUCCUGAGACUCAUGUCCGAGGAAUAUGGAUUUAAAUGAAAAGGUGGAACCAUUAUUGUAAGUGAAGACUCAGAUAAUACCUGUGAUGGGAAAGAAUGUGCCCAAGAUCCAUGGGAAGACCCAGUGAAGAGGAGACCUUUUAGAAAGAAGCAAAACAGGACAAAAAAUAAUAAGAGAAGGUGCAGCCUUGGGUUAUUGUUCUAAUGGAACUACACCUCGGAGGUUGGAUUAUUCCACCCAGUCUCUUCUGGGAUCUCCAUGACAUCAAAUACAGAGUGGUAGAGGAAUCCUCUAGCCACGGAUGCCCGUGCUAGAAGAUGAAACCGUCUCCACCACUAGGAUAAAAGUUCCAUUAUAAAUAAAAGAAGGUGGUGAUCCAUUGAUGACGUCUAUCUUGGGAAAGGAGUCGAUGGCUUGAAGGAAAGCAAUGGAAGCCUGAUGCAGCCUCAUCUGACAGUAACUAAAGAUAAAGAGGAAGCCUUCAACUUUUGAAUCUUGCUAUGAGUAAUUCAGCCUUGUUAUGGCAAGGUGUAAAGCUAAGGGGUAUGUUAUUACCAUGAACGUGCCCCUUGCAAAAUUGUUUCGUAUUUUUCCAAAAUUCGGCAAUUCUUUCUCUAUUAGAAAGAAGAGAGUCACUUUCCUCCAGCCAAAUAUAAAGCCUGGAUGCUGCCUAAAGAUCUUGGGAUUUGCACAGUUGGGAGCCUGAAACAAUACAGUUUGAGGUGUUUAACUUCUUAAGGCUCUCCCCCAAAGGUCAUCGAGUCUCUCUGCUGUCCAGCUCUCUUCCUGGAAAAACAAGAGACUUCCUGGGACGUCCCGCCAGUUUUCAGCAUUAUUUGCAAACUUGUAACCUAUGUGGUGGCCUUACCUGUGUACUCUGUACCCCAUACUAUUGCCAGGAUGACACCAGGCCCAAGCUGGUGCAUGUGUGUCUGCGUCUUCAUAUCCACAUCCACAUCCGUUUUUAGGGCUUCUAACUGUCUUCAAUACAUCUUUAUUCUA